UGCUCCUCUGACGUUAGCGGCGGACGGGUGAGUAACACGUGGAUAACCUACCUAUAAGACUGGGAUAACUUCGGGAAACCGGAGCUAAUACCGGAUAAUAUAUUGAACCGCAUGGUUCAAUAGUGAAAGACGGUUUUGCUGUCACUUAUAGAUGGAUCCGCGCCGCAUUAGCUAGUUGGUAAGGUAACGGCUUACCAAGGCAACGAUGCGUAGCCGACCUGAGAGGGUGAUCGGCCACACUGGAACUGAGACACGGUCCAGACUCCUACGGGAGGCAGCAGUAGGGAAUCUUCCGCAAUGGGCGAAAGCCUGACGGAGCAACGCCGCGUGAGUGAUGAAGGUCUUCGGAUCGUAAAACUCUGUUAUUAGGGAAGAACAAAUGUGUAAGUAACUAUGCACGUCUUGACGGUACCUAAUCAGAAAGCCACGGCUAACUACGUGCCAGCAGCCGCGGUAAUACGUAGGUGGCAAGCGUUAUCCGGAAUUAUUGGGCGUAAAGCGCGCGUAGGCGGUUUUUUAAGUCUGAUGUGAAAGCCCACGGCUCAACCGUGGAGGGUCAUUGGAAACUGGAAAACUUGAGUGCAGAAGAGGAAAGUGGAAUUCCAUGUGUAGCGGUGAAAUGCGCAGAGAUAUGGAGGAACACCAGUGGCGAAGGCGACUUUCUGGUCUGUAACUGACGCUGAUGUGCGAAAGCGUGGGGAUCAAACAGGAUUAGAUACCCUGGUAGUCCACGCCGUAAACGAUGAGUGCUAAGUGUUAGGGGGUUUCCGCCCCUUAGUGCUGCAGCUAACGCAUUAAGCACUCCGCCUGGGGAGUACGACCGCAAGGUUGAAACUCAAAGGAAUUGACGGGGACCCGCCCAAGCGGUGGAGCAUGUGGUUUAAUUGGAAGCAACGCGAAGAACCUUACCAAAUCUUGACAUCUUCUGACCCCUCUAGAGAUAGAGUUUUCCCCUUCGGGGGACAGAGUGACAGGUGGUGCAUGGUUGUCGUCAGCUCGUGUCGUGAGAUGUUGGGUUAAGUCCCGCAACGAGCGCAACCCUUAAGCUUAGUUGCCAUCAUUAAGUUGGGCACUCUAAGUUGACUGCCGGUGACAAACCGGAGGAAGGUGGGGAUGACGUCAAAUCAUCAUGCCCCUUAUGAUUUGGGCUACACACGUGCUACAAUGGACAAUACAAAGGGUAGCGAAACCGCGAGGUCAAGCAAAUCCCAUAAAGUUGUUCUCAGUUCGGAUUGUAGUCUGCAACUCGACUAUAUGAAGCUG
rnacentral:rRNA from 1 species